CCUACGGGUGGCAGCAGUGGGGAAUAUUGGGCAAUGGGCGCAAGCCUGACCCAGCAACGCCGCGUGAAGGAAGAAUGCUUUCGGGUUGUAAACCUCUUUUGUCAGGGAAGAGUAGAAGACGGUACCUGACGAAUAAGCCACGGCUAACUACGUGCCAGCAGCCGCGGUAAUACGCAGGUGGCAAGCGUUGCCCGGAUUUACUGGGUGUAAAGGGCGUGUAGCCGGGUUGACAAGUCAGAUGUGAAAUCCUGCGGCUUAACCGCAGAACUGCAUUUGAAACUGUUGUUCUUGAGUACUGGAGAGGCAGGCGGAAUUCCUAGUGUAGCGGUGAAAUGCGUAGAUAUUAGGAGGAACACCAGUGGCGAAGGCGGUCUGCUGGACAGCAACUGACAGUGAGGCGCGAAAGCGUGGGGAGCAAACAGGAUUAGAUACCCUUGUAGUC
rnacentral:rRNA from 1 species